rnacentral:rRNA from 1 species
AGUAACGCGUGGGUAACCUGCCUUGUACAGGGGGAUAACAGUUGGAAACGGCUGCUAAUACCGCAUAAGCGCACAGCAUCGCAUGAUGCAGUGUGAAAAACUCCGGUGGUAUAAGAUGGACCCGCGUUGGAUUAGCUAGUUGGUGAGGUAACGGCCCACCAAGGCGACGAUCCAUAGCCGACCUGAGAGGGUGACCGACCACAUUGGGACUGAGACACGGCCCAA